AGGACGAACGCUGGCGGCGUGCUUAACACAUGCAAGUCGAGCGGCAGCACGGGUACUUGUACCUGGUGGCGAGCGGCGGACGGGUGAGUAAUGCCUAGGAAUCUGCCUGGUAGUGGGGGAUAACGCUCGGAAACGGACGCUAAUACCGCAUACGUCCUACGGGAGAAAGCAGGGGACCUUCGGGCCUUGCGCUAUCAGAUGAGCCUAGGUCGGAUUAGCUAGUUGGUGAGGUAAUGGCUCACCAAGGCGACGAUCCGUAACUGGUCUGAGAGGAUGAUCAGUCACACGUGGAACUGAGACGACGGUCCAGACCUCCGUACGGGAGCAGCAGGUGGGAAUAGUGGACAAGU
rnacentral:rRNA from 1 species